CGGAGCAUCCACCGGUUUGUUACCGGAUCAGAUUCAGAAGACGGGUUCUGAUCGGUGUUUUGUAAGGACAUGCGGCAUACUUGGCCACGUCCACAAGCGUCGCAUACCUGGUGCUAAGGUGCCCGCACGUCCGAGGUCCGGCAUUUUCUACUCUCAAGGACUGGUGUUGGAACGAAAGUAGGUUUGUGUUUUCGUUUUCGAAGUGUCGGAACGCUAACACUAUUUUGGUGUGACAAGAGCGAGCCGAGUCCGGAGUGCGCGCUUGUACUCCCAGAAGCCCGAGGAGCGAAAGCGGCCGACGCGCCGCGACGAGCGCCCACGGCCGCACGGCAGCUAGUAGUGGGUCCUCUUCAAGCUGCGGUACGACUCGUUGGCGUCGUUUCCGUCGACGCUCCCACCGCGCAAGAUGUGGAUGCUGCGCAAGCAGUUCCGGCACUCGGAAGCCGUGGUGGCCCCUGCUGUUCUGGGCGUCUGCCCUCGAGCGGCGGAAGAAGCCCGUCUGGAGGGUGCUUUGGCAACCAUACUACGCUCUACUGCGAAUACGAAAGUGAUAAGGGAGGCUAAAUAAAGUUAACAGAAACUCAAUCAUGUUGAAACAUGAUUUUAACCUGAUUGAGUCGUUGUUAAUUAUACCUAGCUCCCCACAUUGUACGAUAGUCCGAUACUGGAGUUCAAUGACGAAACACUUUCUCGUUUUAGGUCACUAGUACGCGAUGAUGCCUGCUCCGGGUCAUGUCGACUGGAUGCUGAAGUUGAUGGCUGUUCGGCCCCUCCGCAACCCCGACCUGGAGGAUCUGUUGGGCCUGGACUACAGGUGCUUGGGGCAGCACCGCAAGUUCUGCCGUUAGACCACCACCUACUGCGGAGUCCGCGGGUUUGGUAGCACAGUGCGGCACUACUGGUUACCAACCUGCGGAAGACGGGUUCUACAGCUGCGCCCCUACGAGGGCCCGAUGCCGUACUGGUGGUUGUAGAAGUUGCCGAGCCGCCUCACGCCGUUCCCGAUGCGCUGGGGCGGCCGGUUCCUGGCCCGGGCGAUGAUGUUCUACAUGACGCUGUACGAGUUUCAACUCAUGCCACUUUUGAUGCCCACGCCCGUGGUUUUGAAUUGUUUCUGCAACAACGGAGUGCCUCUUAGAAGCGGAGGAGCCUUGUCUUGGCCCGAAGACCAGCCGUAGAGACAUCCAAAAACGAGCAAAAGCAGUGAAACUAGACAAAGGAGGAUGCCGCUUUGGCCCGCUUUUUGGUAGUGGCUCGUUGCCUCGUUCCCGAUAGUCUCCGGCCGAAGAAACUACUGUUAGUCUCGUACCUUCUUCUGAAGCUCUUUCCUUGGCGCGGGUUCACCAAAACGAUGUCGCUGAACCGGUACCGGUGGCUGUUGAAAAGGCUGCUAUUCUUCGAGCCCGUUCCCCCGAAGCCGAGCCACAUGUUUCCUAAGGAGUUCCUUGACCUGGAAGUGCACCGGUAGUUUUCUCAGAGGUUCCCGAGCUUCGUUCCCUCCUUCCUCAUACGGAGACUCCACUCCCAGUAUUCGGCCGAAGCGGUGUUCUUGGAACACGUCGAAUAGCCGACCACGGUACCUCCGGCACUCAACGAGGAGCAGAUGCUCAACUACGGGUUGCCGUCGGAGCUGUCCGUAGAGACGCGACGGUUAUUACGGUAAGAAGGUACCAGCCAAUCCAUGCGGGUGGUCUCUUCUUCGUGGAGUGAGACGUAUAAUGAUGAGUGAGGUAAAAAUAAAUGAGACGUAUAAUCUCAAUUGACUUUAGUUUGAAGUAUUUCAAACUGGUUCAAAUAUCAUUUGUUAUAUUUAUAAAUGGCAUUGUUUAGAUAUACUACACUUUCAUGUAAGUUAUUACUUAGAUUACCAUCAUUAAACAAUAACAUAUACAAUUAUAAUAACAGAUAUUUAAAACAGUUUCAAAUAUUUUGAACUGAAACUGGUUUCGAUUAUGUACCUCAUUUAUUUUUUCUUCCCUCAUAGUGUAACGAAGUAAUACCACGUGCGGCCGUGUUACCCUAUGUACCUAGGUCUUACGUACUAGUGACCGUUCCGGUUGCGGCUCAGUCUACAAAUGUCGAAGCCGCAACAGGAGGACCUCUAGCGGACGCCGUCUGCUGGGCACCACCACCAAGUGGUUCUUCUUCUUCUACUACUACUUCUACGCCAGGUGGACCGAGUCACCCAGACCUCGAGCAUACCUUCUCCCUUCUAGGACCUACGGCGGCUGUGUGCCUAACCUCCUCUUAAGCUACGGGCCCUCUACCUCACGUACGACUAGCAGCCCGAAACCACACGAGUCGAGCUAGACUUCGACUCUGGCAGAUAGUCCGUCCGAGAGUUGCACAACGCCAAACUCCGCGGGGAGGGAGGGGAGGGGAGUUCCUACGGCCGACGUUCGAUGUACGGUGGCCAGUCACCAUGUCCCUCGACGUGUAGAAGUAGCCGCCAUUGUGCGGUUAGUUGCCGCGCCGGCGGUGAGUCAGCUCGAACUGAGUUCGUAGAAACGACUUUGCUCUGUCUGGUGUGCGACGAGACUAGCGUGGGCCUUUUUUCGGGUCAGUAAAAGGACACCUUCAACCUCAUAAAUGAUACCUUGUUUACGUAAAUGCAAGACUUUACGUCAUCCUGAGCAAACAAAAUUUGUACGUGAGCAACACAAAUUAAUGUAAUAAUCAACAUGGUAGUGAGUUGGAAAUGUUUCCAAAAGCACAAAAUCUUAACUUUGUGUAGUAGCCUAAAUGUGUUCAGUGGCUCGUUUGAGUGAAAUCGAUAUACAGUUGGUCGACUUUUUACAUAAACCCGGUGAGCUAAAAACUUGGUAACUAGAGACAGAGUUCUAAGUGCGAGGAACAAAAAAAAGGACAACACACACAACAGUACGAAACCCGACUUUAAAAACCGACUGGUAAUAGCACCCAGUUGGCUAAGGAAUAACCCGAAUUAGGGUAAAGCACAAACAUACAAAAAAAGAAAAGAUAAAAAUGAGACAAAAAUACACAUAAAAACCCUGAAACCCACUCACAUUUAACAUAUGUGUGUUCAUGAUAUAUUGUACACAUAUUUAUCAUAAGUACACUUUUGACGUGAUAAUAUAUAAAUAAAGAACAUGUAUAUGAUUUUUUCACGUUUCAACACACGUUCAAAAAUAAAUAAGACAAAGAAGAAUUUCCAAUCAUGGUUAUGGGCGAUUGAGUGAAAUGGUGGUGAAGAAAACACUAGGUACAUAUCGACUUGAAAACAGCCGUCUAACAUUGAGAUUUGAGUGAAAUGG
rnacentral:rRNA from 1 species